UACGAAGGGGGCGAGCGUUGUUCGGAUUUACUGGGCGUAAAGGGCGCGCAGGCGGCCAUUCAAGUCAGGCGUGAAAGCCCCGGGCUUAACCUGGGAGGUGCGCUUGGGACUGGGUGGCUAGAGAUCGGGAGAGGAGAGUGGAAUUCCCAGUGUAGAGGUGAAAUUCGUAGAUAUUCGGAAGAACACCGAGUGGCGAAGGCGGCUCACUGGACCGGUAUUGACGCUGAGGUGCGAAAGCGUGGGGAGCAAACAGGG
rnacentral:rRNA from 1 species